UUUUAGCCACGAUGGAAACGACAUCCCCAAAAGCGGAGGGAUUGCAAAGGAUUGGGAUAUAGUGGACAGCGGGACGGGAU
rnacentral:misc_RNA from 1 species